AGCUGGUGCUUAGUUUUUUUUGCACAGUUUCUCGUUGGAUUUGUGUUAUAUGGAUUUUUUUGCACCAAUAAAAUCAGUUCCCGAGGCAGAUCCAACAGUUCGAAAUGGCGCGUUUCAAUGAAACCCUGAAGGGAAACUUGAAGGAAGGUUCCAAAAUGAAAUGAUAACAGACAACUCCGUAUUUCUGGGAAAGAAUGCAGUUUCCGGCGAGGUUUCCGGACAGCAUCAUCGAAAAGUAUCCUUAAAGUUAUGGCUUCUUCUUUGUACCUAGCUGGAGAUAUUUUUAGAAACGAGUGAUGAAAUAACUGAAUAAAGGAUAAU